rnacentral:lncRNA from 1 species
CGAGAUUUGGUUGUUCAAAAGUGUUUACCAGCACCUCUCUCCUCCACAUGUCCCUGCCACAUACGAUGUGCUUGCUUCCCUUUUGCCUUCUGCCGUGAUUGAAAGUUUCCUGAGGCCUCCUCCGGAGUGGAGCAGAUGCUGCCAUGCUUCCUGUGCAGCCUGUGGAACGGUGUGGAAUUAGAGGCCUGAUGGAGUGGAGAGCUUUCCUCCUCAUCACCUGGGUCAGGACCAUGGAGCUCCUUGAGCCUUGAGAUUCCAGGCCCAGGAGCACAUCAUCAUUGUGCUUCUUGGGGCCCAGGCGCAUCUCCUAAGAACUUGUUCUUAGACAUGUUGUGCUCAAACUUGUGGCAUCAUAGCAGUAAUAGUUUACAAUAUACCUACAGUUUCCUGGGCAGAUCAUCGUGUGCAGACCGGCUGCAGAGAGAAGGGAACUGUUUCACUUUCAUCUUCCUGGGCCAUUUCCAGAUAUGAAUUGCAGAGACAUAUUUCAAUAUAUCCUCACCCAAAUAUGCUUUAGAAGUACAUUUCUUUUAAUGUAAUAAGAUUUAUGUCCUUUGUGUUUGUUUAGAGGGUAAAUCUGGAUUUGUAUUUUUAGAAGUUACUUUCACCAAAGAAAUUCGAAAGAAAUAGUGUUUCAGAAAAAUCAAAACAAGCCAUAGAAAUCUAAUAUGUUUCAGAUACUAUAUUGGGCUGCAUGAAGACUAAAUCCAUAAUAUGUAUGAAUAAUGUAUUCUAAAGUAAAUAUCAUAUUUUGUCAAAUUAUUUGUCUGGCAAAAUUAAGUUCUUUUUUCUUUAAAAUGAACUUUUUUUCUUAUUUCGAAGUGAUGUGUAUGUAAAGAGGCAGUGUAGACUGGUGGUUAGGAGCACUCUGGAGUCAGAAGCCUGCUUCAGAAUCUUGGCUACCUCACUUACCAAGGAUAGAGCUGUGGGGAGUUUACUUGUUCUCACUCUCUCUUCUUUUUUCCAUCUGUAAAAUGGCAAAAAUAAACCACCUAAGUAAAAUGGCCUCUGCGAGAGAGAAAUAAAUUAAUAUAUGUUGCUAUGGUUUAAAUGUGUCUCCUCUAAAAUCCAUGUAGCAGCUUAAUCCCACUUUGAUGGCUGUGUUAGUCUGUUCUCACACUGCUAAUAAAGACAUACCCAAGACUGGGUAAUUUAUAAAGAAAAAGUGAUUUAAUGGACUCACAGUUUCACAUGGCUGGGGAGGCCUCAUAAUCAUGGCAGAAGGCAAAGGAGGAGAAAGGCACGUCUUACAUGGCAGCAGGCAAGAGAGCUUGUGGAGGGGAACUCCUAUUUAUAAAACCAUCAGAUCUCAUGAGACUUAUUCACUACCACGGGAAGAGUAUGACAGAAAUUGCCCCUGUGAUUCAAUUAAUAAGACUUAUUCACUAUCACGAGAACAGUGUGAGAGAAAUUGCCUCCGUGAUUCAAUUAUCUCCACCUGCCCUUGACACACGGGAAUUAUUAAAAUUUAAGGUGAGAUUUGGGUGGGGACACAGCGAAACCAUAUCAAUGGCAUUGAGAGAUGAGGCCUUUGGGGAUGUGAUUAAAUCCCAGUGGAUUAGAAUAGAUUAGUACCUUAUAAAAGGCCUGGCGGGGACUAGUUUAGGCCCUUUUGGCCUUUCCAUCCCUUCUGCCAUAGAAGACCCCUCCAGAGAAAGCAACAAGGCACCAUCUUGGAAGCCAAGAGAGGAGCCCUUACUGGACACCAAACCCGCCAGCACCUCCGUCUUGGACGUUCCAGCCUUCAGAACCAUGAGAAGUAAAUUUCUGUUCUUUAUACAUUAUUCAGUCUGUGGUGUUUUAUUAUAGCAGCACAAAUGGACUAACACAUGUGAAACACUUAGAGCUGUGCUUUGCCCAGAGUAAGUGCUCAGUCAAUCUUGUGAAAAAUUUGGCAAGUCAGUAAAAGUAGAACUGAGAAAACAAAAAGUACCCACUUUCCACCACUUGCAGAAGCCAUUAGUAGCAUUUUAGCAUAUUACUUUCAGUCGAUCCCUAUCCAUUUUAUAAUCUGAGAGUUUACCACUUGUAAAAUAUUUACACUUUUUGCUUCACUUGACACACCACAAGCAUUUAUUUGUAUUAUUUAAAUCCUCUGCCCCUUCUGCAACUUCUUUUCUUUUUUUUUUUAUUUUUUCUUUUUCUUUCUUUCUUUCUUUUUUUUUUUUGAGAUGUAGUCUUGCUCUGUUGCCUGGUCUGGAGUGCAGUGGUGAGAUCUUGGCUCACCGCAACCUCUGCCUCCCAGGUUGAAGCAAUUCUCCUGCCUCAGUCUCCCAAGUAGCUGGGAUUACAGGUGCGUGCCACCACACCUGGCUAAUUUUUGUAUUUUUAGUAGAGACGGGGUUUCACCAUAUUGGCCAGGCUGGUCUAGAACUUCCGACCUCAAGUAAUCCACCCACCUGGGCCUCUCAAAGUGCUAGGAUUAUAGAUUUGAGCCAGUGCGCCCAUAACAUAUGGCCGUCUUCCAUAACUUUCUUAACCGUUUCCUAUUUCCCUGUUGUAGGAUAUUUAGAUUGUUUCCAAGAACAUCAAAACAUAUUAAAAAUAUUAACAGUUUUAUGCUUAUUGUAUGGAACGUCUCCAAAUCAUAUAGCCAUUUUACCCUUCUUGCUAGUGAAGUGACAUACAGUUUUGAAAACCCUACAGAACAUGGUAUUUUAGACGUGGCU